rnacentral:lncRNA from 1 species
GAGGAUUGCAUCAUCAGUCAUGGAACAAAUGGGCUGUGAUCCAACAUCGCUGUUAGAUCCAACCUUCCUCAUCAUCUGUUCUCUCAACUGUAAUAUUUUUUCCUUCAUAAUAAACCAAAUAAUACCAUUAGUUUGUUUUGAAGGCUUCAAAAGUAUUCAAAAUAUGGUAUGAUACUUACCUGGCAUUGCCUCGCCUCCUCGAUCACAAACUGAUCACUUUUGUUCUAAUAGAAUUUUUUGUAGGCAUCGAUUCUGGAUAGUCCCUAUUCAAACAAAAAAAAGGAAAAAAGGACAUCAAAGUAAUUAUAUAUUCAAUAAGAACAUCCUAUAGCGUGCAAUUGCAAAUGUAGUUACAUAUCAUCCUCUUCAUUUCUUGCACAAAGAACGCACUCCUUUGCAUGUGAAUGGAAUCAAACUUACUCCUAUUCAUCUUGUUCAUCUCUGAUCAUUGCUAAAAAAUAUAUAUAAUUAUAGUAAAAAAAAAUAAUAUCAAAAUAACUUGAAAUACUAAACAUAUCUUAAACACCUCGCUCUUUAAAUACUCGCACAAUCACCAUCAAUUGUCAUAAGAUCUGGCCCAGUUUAUGUAAGUUUAGUUCAUAGGGUCAAUCUCUCUCACUCGCAAAUCAUUGUAGUAUGUAAGAAGUCUACAUCACUGAUCCCUAUAUCUGUUUGCAGUCAUUUUGAGGAUACACAUCGUCACUUCUUCAUCGGUGCAAUCCUCGAAUGUAAUGAUAUCCUACACAUGUAAACAUUCAUCACAAUAUGUAAAUACAAUAAAUCUCAUAAGAAAUAUAUAUUAACUUAUCUUGAUGUGAGAGACAAGGGCAUCGCGGAAUUGAGAGACGAUAUGUCUGAAAAUUUUGAUGGCUCGCGAAAAAUGAUUCCACAUGAAUAGACUGAUCUCGUUGGCGACUAUACUCACCUCCGUGCCAAUCGGAUGAUUUCGAAAUAGCUGUAACUUUGGCCUUUUGUUGUAGGUAUGUACGUAUUUCUCCAAGAUUAGACCCCUACUAGGAUCACGCACCGUACGUCAUUGCUGUGUGCCUGCACAUGAAAAUUUGUAAAAUGAAUAUAUAUCAUCUACUAAUAGAUGUAUAUAACAAAGAAAUGAUGUACAUAAUUUAUAAAUAUGAUAGAGGUAUACAUGCAGGGGAAUGAUGCUGCGAUGCCAUGAUUUCCUACUGAACUAGCUACGACUAAGCACUAGUCUACUUCGCGGACUCGGGUGGUUGGGUCUCAUCCAAAGUCCUUUGACUCAUUGCAUAGAGGACUAAAAUGAGGAUGUGUGUCAUCAAGUGGGGCCUGACAUUUAUACUACGAACGUUCGUGCUAGGAUCAGUCAUGAUGCUGUAAUGGUUAACAUAAUUUGAAUAAGCAC